rnacentral:rRNA from 1 species
UACGUAGGGUGCAAGCGUUAUCCGGAAUUAUUGGGCGUAAAGAGCUCGUAGGCGGCUUGUCGCGUCGAAUGUGAAAACCCACGGCUCAACUGUGGGCUUGCAUUCGAUACGGGCAGGCUAGAGUUCGGUAGGGGAGACUGGAAUUCCUGGUGUAGCGGUGAAAUGCGCAGAUAUCAGGAGGAACACCGGUGGCGAAGGCGGGUCUCUGGGACA